UACAGAGGCCACGAGCGUUAGGCGGAAUCACUGGGCUUAAAGCGUGUGUAGGUGGAUGGGUAAGUACCUUGUGAAAUCCCACGGCUCAACCGUGGAAAUGCUUGGUAUACCGCCUGUCUUGAGGCACUCAGGGGCGAGCGGAACAGAUGGUGGAGCGGUGAAAUGCGUAGAUAUCAUCUGGAACGCCAAUGGUGAAGACAGCUCGCUGGGGGUGUACUGACACUGAGACACGAAAGCCAGGGGAGCAAACGGG
rnacentral:rRNA from 1 species